UACUGACGCUGAGAUGCGAAAGCGUGGGGAGCAAACAGGAUUAGAUACCCUGGUAGUCCACGCUGUAAACGAUGUCGAUUUGGAGUUUGGUGGCAUGACUGCUGGGCUCCGAAGCUAACGCGUUAAAUCGACCGCCUGGGGAGUACGGCCGCAAGGUUAAAACUCAAAUGAAUUGACGGGGGCCCGCACAAGCGGUGGAGCAUGUGGUUUAAUUCGAUGCAACGCGAAGAACCUUACCUGGUCUUGACAUCCACAGAAUUUUGUAGAGAUACGAAAGUGCCUUAGGGAGCUGUGAGACAGGUGCUGCAUGGCUGUCGUCAGCUCGUGUUGUGAAAUGUUGGGUUAAGUCCCGCAACGAGCGCAACCCUUAUCCUUUGUUGCCAUCGGUUAGGCCGGGAACUCAAAGGAGACUGCCGUUGAUAAAGCGGAGGAAGGUGGGGACGACGUCAAGUCAUCAUGGCCCUUACGACCAGGGCUACACACGUGCUACAAUGGCGCAUACAAAGAGAAGCAAACCAGCGAUGGCAAGCGGACCUCAUAAAGUGCGUCUAAGUUCGGAUUGGAGUCUGCAACUCGACUCCAUGAAGUCGGAAUCGCUAGUAAUCGUGAAUCAGAAUGUCACGGUGAAUACGUUCCCGGGCCUUGUACACACCGCCCGUCACACCAUGGGAGUGGGUUGCACCAGAAGUAGAUAGC
rnacentral:rRNA from 1 species